rnacentral:rRNA from 1 species
AGCCUGAACGCUGGCGGCGUGGCUAAGACAUGCAAGUCGUACGGUGUAGCAAUACACAGUGGCGAACGGGAGAGUAAUGAAUCGCUAAUGUGCCCCGGACUCUGAGAUAGCCAUCCGAAAGGGUGGGUAAUAUCAGAUGACAUAUCUCUGUCGCAUGAUAGAGAUCUCAAAGGUCCGCCGGUCUGGGAGCAGGCGAUUUCGUAUCAGCUAGUUGGUGAGGUAACGGCUCACCAAGGCGACGACGCGUAGCCGGACUGAGAGGUUGGCCGGCCUCAUUGGGACUGAGACACUGCCCAGACUCCUACGGGGGGCUGCAGUAACGAAUCUUCCGCAAUGCACGAAAGUGUGACGGAGCGACGCCGCGUGUGGGACGAAGUCCUUCGGGAUGUAAACCACUGUCAGGGGUUACCAAGUUCUGAGGACGCCCGAGGAGGGAAGGGACGGCUAACGUCUGUGCCAGCAGCCGC